UUUUUCAUUCGAGUGUGGAAAUUGAACGCGGCCCGAAUGGUGGGAUCCACAACCUUCAACUUUCUUCUCAACGAAGUAGUCGGUGUUACUUUUCCAUCAAAUGUCUAGACAACUUGACAACUUCUCCUAGGAGGUUAUUGGCUCCCUGUUCAAUACAGAAAGAAUCUCUCCAUCUUCCCCAAUAUAUACUCACGCUCGCUCCCUCUUUCAUCAAACCCAAUCCCUCACCCACCUCUCGUCCAUGUCAAAGAAAAACUGCCCCUCCCUCUCUUCUCUGUUAAACAAGUAAAACUGCCCCUCACCGGUUGAUGAUCCCGCCGAUCCUUCCUCUGUCAAUAAGAAUAGCAAACACCUCUCCUCCCUUUCAAUUUCAAACCUCCUGAACUCGUCUCGAAUCAGGUAGCGAAAGAAGAACAAGGGAGGCCUCGUGCCUUUCUUCCCUGUUUUAGGAAGAGGAAUGAAUUACAACAUCCCAUCGGUUAUGGCAAAUCCGAUCGCGGGGUGUUGUAGACGCCGGAAGUUGGAUACGACUUCCAUCCAACCAAUGAAGAAUUAGAUAAUUAUUUAUAAUUAUCUAAUUUUCAUUGAGGCUAAAGUUGGACCAUCCGACCAAUGAAGAAUUAAACAGUAAAUUAUAAUUUUAUAAUAAAUAAAGACUUAGUUAUUAUUAUAGAAUAAAUAUUGAUGCUGUAAUCUACCAGUCGACGUAUCUUCCUUUAUAUAUACUACAUUACACUACUGUUAAGUAACUUGCAGUUUUAGUGGAUUCUGUCACCGUGACAUUUGCUUAA